GGACGAACGCUGGCGGCGUGCUUAACACAUGCAAGUUGAACGGUAUGACAUGGAAGCUUGCUGAAGUGUCAUAUAGUAGCGGACGGGUGAGUAAUGCAUGAGAAGCUGCCAUUGGGAGGGGGACAACAGUUGGAAACGGCUGCUAAUACCCCGUAUGCCGGAAGGUGAAAGGGAGCGAUCCGCCCGAUGAGGUGCUCAUGUCCUAUCAGCUGGUUGGUGGGGUAACGGCCUACCAAGGCGACGACGGGUAGCCGGCCUGAGAGGGUGAACGGCCACACUGGAACUGAGAUACGGUCCAGACUCCUACGGGAGGCAGCAGGUGGGGAAUAUUUGGGCAAGUGGGGGCAACCCUGACCCAGCGACGCCGCGUGGGGGAAGACGGCCUUCGGGUUGUAAACCUCUUUUGUACGGGAAGAAGGAAGUGACGGUACUGUACGAAUAAGUCCCGGCUAACUACGUGCCAGCCGCGGC
rnacentral:rRNA from 1 species